UCCCUUCAGCCAAUUCUGAACAAACCCAUUUUUAUCAUUAGGGGACCUCCACAUUCCUGCUACCAUCACCCCACUAUAGCUGAGGUACCUCCUAUCUUAACAUACCUGUUUCUAUCCAGAUGGAAGUCACCAGAACAUUUCCUGCACAGAAAUGGCUUCUGUGGCACAAGGCACACACAUCUGGAUUGUCUCGUACCCUGGAAACCCCUUGGGUUUCACAAGUGAUCUGAAUUUAAAGUUGCUGGCAUUGGGUAGGCGGCUGUGUGGGAGACUGUCAAUCACAAGCCUGGAAAAUCUCUCUUAAUUAUCUGCUUGUAAGGUUGGAAUUUCCUCACCAAGUCUAUCUUCAUUUACUGAAGAGUCUCCAGAGUCCCACUUCAAGAGGAAUUUUUUUUAAGAAGUGAAAACUGGCCCCACGCCCUCAUGUGGAAGAAGGUCAAUGGGGUUGUGGACAUGAGCCCACGUCAUGGGACAAAGUCUGCUCUUCAGUGAGAGUGACGACAGGAAUCCAAGGAGAGGCAGCAGAGAAACCUGCCACCUCUGCUGAGGCCGAGGACAUUGGAACAGCGGCCACCCGUCAGCCCAGGUGAUGGCACAUGGACCUGGGUCCUGAAAUUAGAGACAGUACUAAUCCAUGGACCAGAUUUGGUACUUGAUAGCUCUCUAGCUGAGACUGAGGAUGGCUGCCUACUAUGGACAGACUUCUUCUGACCUGGAGGAAUGCGCCGGAGCUUAGGCCCUUGGUCAGAUCCUAGAACCUCCACAGUGGGCAGGGAUGGACACCUGCCCUGCUGUUGUAGCAGUAUGAAUAUGGUUUGUUUGUUAGAUGAUUAUAAAUCAGGCUCUUUCAUUCUUCCUCUAGUAUCAAAGCAUCUUAGCAAUUCAGAAGUUUUGUGUGGACCAGGCUCCCACUGUAAACCUUUCCCUCCCCUCUGCUACAAAUUAAGAAACCUGCCA